GACGAACGCUGGCGGCGUGCUUAACACAUGCAAGUCGAACGAUGAAGGAGAGCUUGCUCUCCGGAUUAGUGGCGAACGGGUGAGUAACACGUGACUAACCUGCCCCUUUCUCUGGGAUAACGCUCCGAAAGGAGUGCUAAUACCGGAUACGAACUCUGAACACAUGUUCGGAGUUGGAAAGUUUUUCGGAAAGGGAUGGAGUCGCGGCCUAUCAGCUUGUUGGUGAGGUAACGGCUCACCAAGGCGACGACGGGUGGCCGGCCUGAGAGGGCGAGCGGCCACACUGGGACGGAGACACGGCCCAGACUCCUACGGGAGGCAGCAGUGGGGAAUAUUGCACAAUGGGCGAAAGCCUGAUGCAGCGACGCCGCGUGAGGGAUGAAGGUCUUCGGAUUGUAAACCUCUUUCAGUAGGGACGAAGCGAAAGUGACGGUACCUAAAGAAGAAGCACCGGCUAACUACGUGCCAGCAGCCGCCGUAA
rnacentral:rRNA from 1 species